AAUAUAGCUAAGUGGGAAACGAAGUGGGAAGGCUAAAACAGUCAGGAGGUUGGCUUAGAAGCAGCCACCCUUUAAAGAAAGCGUAAUAGCUCACUGAUCGAGUCGUCCUGCGCGGAAGAUGUAACGGGGCUAAGCUAUAUACCGAAGCUGCGGAUGCGAGCUUUGCUCGCAUGGUAGGAGAGCGUUCCGUAAGCCUGCGAAGGUGCGUUGAAAAGCGUGCUGGAGGUAUCGGAAGUGCGAAUGCUGACAUGAGUAGCGAUAAAGGGGGUGAAAGGCCCCCUCGCCGUAAGCCCAAGGUUUCCUACGCAACGUUCAUCGGCGUAGG
rnacentral:rRNA from 1 species